UGGGCAAUGAGAGAGGAGUAGAAGGAUAUCUUUCAUUUCUGGAUCAGCUCCUUAAAGACACUUGCCCUGGACUCUCUCCUAGUCCCUUCUUCUAUGGGCUGUAGCACAGACGUGGUAGAGACUCAGCUUUCGGUAACGCUGAUGAGCAGAUCAGGGAAUGGCAAUGCAGCAGAAAGGAAGGAAGAGACCUGUGUAUUUUAAUGACCUUCACCACCUGGACCGGCAGGACUGUAAUGUGAGAAAUACAUUUCUAUCUAUACCUUUGGCUCAUGAUGACAAAAUGCACUACAAAUAUUAAAGUGGUGAUGAAUUACUUUGGUCUGACCUUCCCAACACCUAUGUGGAUUCCAAAUAUUAACAAAUGUCUCUUCACAUAAGUUAUGGAUAACUUGGGAAUUAGCUCCCAGGAUGCUACCAGCAAAAGAUGCCUACUUUGUUCCCAGUUCACUUCUAAUCACUGAGAAGAGCAAUCAACACUAAAUAUUUAAGGGUAAUGAAAAUUUAGCCUGAACAUCUACUUGCAUGAACGUUGCAUGGGAAAGUUUUCCUUUAGCUGCUCUGCGGUACCAGUAUCUGAACCCAUACGUCCCACUGAGAAAUACAAAGAGUCCCAAAGGACAAAAUUAAGGGUAGACAACAUCUGACCUCAAUCAUGGGCGUCAGGAUAAGAAAUGCAUAACACAUGGUCACAACUCAAAAGCAGUGAUGUCAAGGUUACUGCAGAGGAUGGCAGCUGUUCAGUUGGACAUCUGGAUCUCGGUGGUUCCAGAACUGACUGUUCUCACAUGAGAUCUGUCCAUGAGAAGCUCAGCCCAUCUUCAGUAACAGUUCUCAGAAUCUGAAUGAAAUUUUCAUGUAAUGCCCAGUGAAUAAUACAUUUUCACACAUACAAAAUAUUCUCAUUUCUGGAAAGUAAAUGUUGCCCAAAAGCAAAAUAUUAAAACAAGAAGGAUUAUUUUGGGUUGUAUGGCUGUGCCAAACUGGUUCUUCACCUUUAGUGUUUACAGUCAGAAGAGAUCAAGGACAAUGGAAGGGUUCUGGCUGUCUUCCUAUAUUAUCUGAUACUAUCUAAAUAUGCACAACUUUGUACUUACCUUUCGAAAGUUCACUUUCCUUCCCUUUUCUGAGAACGAUAACCAGCAAAAUGUUGAUAGGCAUGACAGGUUUAGCACGUGCAAGUCUGCUAUAUCAAUUUCAAAUGGUGCAUAACUAUUAUAAUUGGUAGGCAGGAGUUAAGAAGUAUGAGCACAUUUAAGCAUAUAUAUCCAGCUAAUCAAAUUCAUCAGCACAUUAAGUGAAGAAAUUAUAUUUAAAUUCUUUAAAAUUAUAAGGUUAAGAUUGGUAAUAUGUACAGAAAACAUUUUUUAGCCAAUUAAACAAGACACACUAGAUUCACACUAAUGAAUGAAAUGUAAAUGUGAUAGACAGUUAAAUUAAUGGAAAUGAUGCUUUCUUGGAUAGAAGGUCACUAGUCCUGAGUAACAUAUGAACGUAACUAUGUGGUUGGCACAGUCCCUGAUCAACAAUGGGAAGAUUUUCCAAAGUGUAUAGCAGCAGGUGUUAAUAUGAUGCAUUUGUAUAUUCAAAAGUCCUUUAUAAAAAAAAUUAUCUAUAUAUUACCUGGUAUGAAUUUCAAACCCUAAAAUUACUGAAGACAUUUCAAACACAGUUGAGGGUUUAUGCCAUCUGCAACUUAUUUGGUUUUGUUAUUUACGCAAGACCUGUAAAUUUCAGUCAUUUUGGUGCUGCAGUGGGCUAGCUGGCGGUGUAAGUUCCUCAGCAAAGUCUCUGGGUGGAUCCUGUCACAGUGUGGUUGUUCAAAAAACAAGACUCUUCCAAAAACCAUACUUUAUUUGAUGGAUGGCAUAGUGUAAUAUUUAAUUCAAGUGUUCAAAAACCAAAAGAAGUGCUUGAAAAGCUUUAGUUAAGAGAAUUGGAGAAUUCUGUAUAGAUUUUGAUUUAGUCCAUUUCUAAGUAUAUACAGGGAAGGGGAAGCAACCUGAUUUGAAACCACUCAAAUGAUCAAUGAUACAUAAUGGAGGGUAAAAAAAAAAUGUAAGAUAAAAAGCCAAGACAAAUUCUAUUUAGCCAUUAAUUAUCAGAGGAUAAAGAGAUGGACCAAUGUAAUAAAUAUCUGGUCUCAGUUACAGACAAUGAGGAAAAGUUGGAUGAGACUUAAACAUUCAACAGUCAUUAAAUCAAAAUCUUUCUUAAAGUGACAAUGUCAGAGUCUGGAAAUGUUACUCUGACCCACAGUGGGUGACUGUGAGCCAUUGGUAUAGAAAGGAAAAACUGAAAUCACAUGUAAAAUGACAAUAUAGAACCAAUGCUCCAAAUCUCUCAAGUUCCUGGGAGGAAACAGGAUAAAAAUUCUUCCCCAAAGAAGUUCACAUCCUUUUGAUAAUCAAAUAUUAGUCUGUAUUUCACCAGAGAGAAGAGAUAUACCUGUAGGUCCUGAUUUAAUUAGAUGCCCUGAUGAUGAUUCUGAGUGGUUGACAAGCUCUUGUUAAUAGAAGCUUGCUAGGUGAAGCAAAGGAGAAGUGACCUCUAGUAGUAAAUCAAGCACCUUUGGAAGCUGCUUUAUCUCCUUAACCUGGGUGACCUGGGCCUGGAGUCAUAGUUUGGAUACCUGGGAGACUAUAUAUUAGGAACUGGAAAACAAUUUUUUUUUUUUUUUGGUUUUGGGCUAGACUAAAGCUCAGAGAAGGUUGUAAUCAAAUGAACUUUUAAGUUCAUAUGACUCUUGAACUUGAACAUUCAUCAGAAUCACCUAUAAGACUUAUUAGAACCUAGACUGCUGGCACUUUCCCCAGUUUCUGAAUCCUUAGGUCUGCAGAUGAGAAAUUUAUAGUUCUUACAAGCUCCUAGGUGCUUGCUGUUGCUGCCACUGGUCUGGGGACCACACUUUGAAAACCAGCGCUGUAAGGAAUACUGAAUAAAAAGAUAUGUAUUUUCCUCAGAAAACUAUGACUUGUCCUCAGUGGAAUCUAAUCAGUAGGUUUACCCACAGUUAAAAUUUAAAAAAUGAGCAAUGACCCACCACUGUUAAUUUGGAACAGUCAAACUAACCUCACCAAAGGCUGCUCCAAUGGAAAAAGUGGGAAGCUCUUUCCACGGUACACACUGGCUUUGCUGGCUGUGGUCUUAAGUCAAAGCACAGGAUGAACCUUGGCCAGCAGCGUGAGGUCUCUCAAGUUUGCAGCUGUUGGGAGGAGACUGCUCUGCCAGCGACUCUGGGCAGGAAGUUCCUCGUUAGAACCGAUGCAUCUAUUUUAUUCAGCUUGGAGUGAAAAUAAAUAAAUAAAUAAAAAGAGGCCAAAGUCUCUAGGCUUCUCCGAACUUCUUUUAACUGCCUGACCUCCCCAAGGCCACCAUGGUGGCUGGCUUUGCCGCCAUGGCUGCUCUACUUCCGGUAACCGGCGGCUCGAGGCUCGGCGUCAUGGGAAGUUCUCAAAGUGGCCGUCAUAAAUCACACCUAUGGAAUAAUUAAGAUGAAAAUCCCAAAUGACAGACAAACACAGGGCACUCAGACUGAAAAAAAAAAAUCUGCAAUAAGGCCACUCCGCAUCCCAGUCCACACGGCCAGCAAGCGGUCCGUCAAGAACAUUAAGGAACAGUGUCAUUUUCAUCAGAAACGGGCCUUUAUGGUGCACAAGUUCUACAGGACUUCUCACGACGCUGCUUUCCAGGACCUUGCAUCAGAUAAAGGAUGGAGGGCUACCGCAGUUUCUUCUUUCAAGUAAACACUUUAAGAUAUUGUUGUUGAAGGCGACACAGCUUCCUCUGUGUUCAUAUCAUUUUACAGAACUCCUGCCACUCUCCAUUCCCUUAUUCAGCUAAGUGCUCAGCAAUAAUGGACAAACAAAAUCUAAACUAGCGUUACCACUACCCUAGGGAUAACACUGAGUAAGAGUUAUGCAGUAUGAUCUGAUAAUAGCUGGCUUUGGGAGCUGAAAAGGAAAAAAAAAAUGUCUUGUAAGGGGAUAUAUUAAGACAUUUAGAUUUUAAAUCCUAAGUCCAACAUGACGCAUAAUUUGGGAAUUGCUCUGUUGGCUUUAAGGUUAAAAAAUAAAAAAGGGAUAGAAAUAAGUCCUGAUAUAUAAAAUACAUAUUUUUGUUCAGUCGCUAAGUCAUGUUUGACUCUUUGUGACCCUAUGCUAGACUGCAG